AGUGAACGCUGGCGGUAGGCCUAACACAUGCAAGUCGAACGGCAGCACAGUAAGAGCUUGCUCUUACGGGUGGCGAGUGGCGGACGGGUGAGGAAUACAUCGGAAUCUACUUUUUCGUGGGGGAUAACGUAGGGAAACUUACGCUAAUACCGCAUACGACCUACGGGUGAAAGCAGGGGAUCUUCGGACCUUGCGCGAUUGAAUGAGCCGAUGUCGGAUUAGCUAGUUGGCGGGGUAACGGCCCACCAAGGCGACGAUCCGUAGCUGGUCUGAGAGGAUGAUCAGCCACACUGGAACUGAGACACGGUCCAGACUCCUACGGGAGGCAGCAGUGGGGAAUAUUGGACAAUGGGCGAAAGCCUGAUCCAGCCAUACCGCGUGGGUGAAGAAGGCCUUCGGGUUGUAAAGCCCUUUUGUUGGGAAAGAAAAGCAGCAGGUUAAUACCUGGCUGUUUUGACGGUACCCAAAGAAUAAGCACCGGCUAACUUCGUG
rnacentral:rRNA from 1 species